AACAGGAUUAGAUACCCUGGUAGUCCACGCUGUAAACGAUGUCGACUUGGAGGUUGUGCCCUUGAGGCGUGGCUUCCGGAGCUAACGCGUUAAGUCGACCGCCUGGGGAGUACGGCCGCAAGGUUAAAACUCAAAUGAAUUGACGGGGGCCCGCACAAGCGGUGGAGCAUGUGGUUUAAUUCGAUGCAACGCGAAGAACCUUACCUACUCUUGACAUCCAGAGAAUUUGCUAGAGAUAGCUUAGUGCCUUCGGGAACUCUGAGACAGGUGCUGCAUGGCUGUCGUCAGCUCGUGUUGUGAAAUGUUGGGUUAAGUCCCGCAACGAGCGCAACCCUUAUCCUUUGUUGCCAGCACGUAAUGGUGGGAACUCAAAGGAGACUGCCGGUGAUAAACCGGAGGAAGGCGGGGAUGACGUCAAGUCAUCAUGGCCCUUACGAGUAGGGCUACACACGUGCUACAAUGGCAUAUACAAAGAGAAGCGAACUCGCGAGAGCAAGCGGACCUCAUAAAGUAUGUCGUAGUCCGGAUUGGAGUCUGCAACCCGACUCCAUGAAGUCGGAAUCGCUAGUAAUCGUAGAUCAGAAUGCUACGGUGAAUACGUUCCCGGGCCUUGUACACACCGCCCGUCACACCAUGGGAGUGGGUUGCAAAAGAAGUAGGUAGCUUAACCUUCGGGAGGGCGCUUACCACUUUGUGAUUCAUGACUGGGGGUGAAGUCGUAACAAGGUAACC
rnacentral:rRNA from 1 species